GUGGGGAAUCUUCCACAAUGGACGAAAGUCUGAUGGAGCAACGCCGCGUGAGUGAAGAAGGGUUUCGGCUCGUAAAGCUCUGUUGUCGGGGACGAAUGUGCAGUAUUUGAAUAAAGUAGUGCAAUGACGGUACCUGACGAGGAAGCCACGGCUAACUACGUGCCAGCAGCCGCGGUAAUACGUAGGUGGCAAGCGUUGUCCGGAAUUAUUGGGCGUAAAGGGAGCGCAGGCGGGAAGGUAAGUCGGUCUUAAAAGUGCGGGGCUCAACCCCGUGAUGGGAUCGAAACUAUCUUUCUUGAGUGCAGGGGAGGAAAGUGGAAUUCCUAGUGUAGCGGUGAAAUGCGUAGAUAUUAGGAGGAACACCAGUGGCGAAGGCGACUUUCUGGACUGUAACUGACGCUGAGGCUCGAAAGCCAGGGGAGCGAACGGGAUUAGAAACCCCUGUAGUCC
rnacentral:rRNA from 1 species